rnacentral:lncRNA from 1 species
AUGGAAAUCAAACAGACUUUACUUAACAUGGAAGGGAUAUGGAGUCAGAUUACUCUGAGUGCUGUUCCAGUUGUGCAAAGCAUGGCGACAUAUUUUUACAGGUUUCUGGGUUUUAGGAAGGUGAUUUUGAUCCCAUGCCCUUGCCAUAUCAGCAGUAGCAUCUUACAGUGGACCAAGAUGAUGAUAAGAGAUUUUGCACACAAGUGGGACUGUGCAAAGAUACCAGGAGAAAAGAUGUCUUGCAAUUCUGGAAGUGUGUGCUGCCAUGAUCUUGUUCUUCCUUUUUCAUUUCUUCUUUCUUUCCUAAUAAUAAUAAAAUAAAUGGUUUGAAAAACAUAGGGAGUGUGUGGCCUGAACUUAUAGAGGCAUGUUUUGUUACUACUGUUUAUACAAUGCAUUUUAGUAAAUUGUUUUUCCUUGGAGAAUUGUUUCAAGUAGCUGAAUUUCAAGUAGGAGAAUUCAAUAAUGGGGGCUCACAAGUUAAAGUUUUAGUAGUACAGACACUCACAGGGCCUUAGAUCUAGGAUAGUAAUUCUCCAGGUAACCAACACAAAAAUGAAAGGUUGGGAGGGUAGUUUCAAAGUGAGGGGCACAACAUAUUGAUACUUACAGUUAGGGGGUAUAACAGAGAGAGCUGGAAUUGGAGUCAAGAAAACCUCAUUUUGAAUCUUGCCUCUGACUCUAUCUUGGUGGUGAUGAGCACAUCAUUUAACAUUUCCAUGCCUUGGUUUUAUGGUUAUGUUCCAGGCUUGUCUUUAUUCUAAGAAUCUGGGGGAUUAGAAUAGUUUUUGUGUGUAGUUUCAGAUUAGAUGAAGGAGUUUUUCCUUUAUUAUUAUUCCUUUUGGUGCAUUUUUGGAGUUUUUUUUUUUUCCUGGGGAUGUUUGUAGGUGGUUUGAACUCUCCUAGAUCUUUUUUUUUUUUUGUUAAUGAAUUUUUAAACCCUUUCCUUCCAUCUUAGAAAAAAUACCAUGUAUUGGUUCUAAGGCAGAAGAGAGGUAAGGGCUAGGCAAUGAGGGUCAAGUGACUUGCCUAGGGUCACACAGCUAGGAAGUGUCUGAGGUCAGAUUUGAACCAAGGACCUCCCAUCUCUGGGUCUGCCUCUCAAUUCACCAAGCUACCCAGCUGCUUCUUACCCUAGAUCUUAAAACACCACUGUCUUUCCACAAUUUUCCUCCAUUGAUACAUACUGCAACCCACCUGUGCCUUCUCUUCCUGGGCAAUUCUAAUUCAUGUCCUUCCACAGAUAAUCUAGAGAUUUACCUCUUGGUUGGGUUAUGCCCAUUUGAUAAAUAUGAUACUACUGUAGGAUUUAAUGUCCAAU